rnacentral:rRNA from 1 species
UACGAAGGGGGCUAGCGUUACUCGGAUUGACUGGGCGUAAAGGGCGCGUAGGCGGUUUGUACAGUCAGACGUGAAAUUCCUGGGCUCAACCUGGGGGCUGCGUUUGAUACGUGCGGACAUGAGUUCGGAAGAGGGUCGUGGAAUUCCCAGUGUAGAGGUGAAAUUCGUAGAUAUUGGGAAGAACACCGGUGGCGAAGGCGGCGACCUGGUCCGAUACUGACGCUGAGGCGCGAAAGCGUGGGGAGCAAACAGG